ACGCUGGCGGCGUGCCUAAUACAUGCAAGUCGUACGCUUCUUUUUCCACCGGAGCUUGCUCCACCGGAAAAAGAAGAGUGGCGAACGGGUGAGUAACACGUGGGUAACCUGCCCAUCAGAAGGGGAUAACACUUGGAAACAGGUGCUAAUACCGUAUAACAAUCGAAACCGCAUGGUUUUGAUUUGAAAGGCGCUUUCGGGUGUCGCUGAUGGAUGGACCCGCGGUGCAUUAGCUAGUUGGUGAGGUAACGGCUCACCAAGGCCACGAUGCAUAGCCGACCUGAGAGGGUGAUCGGCCACAUUGGGACUGAGACACGGCCCAAACUCCUACGGGAGGCAGCAGUAGGGAAUCUUCGGCAAUGGACGAAAGUCUGACCGAGCAACGCCGCGUGAGUGAAGAAGGUUUUCGGAUCGUAAAACUCUGUUGUUAGAGAAGAACAAGGAUGAGAGUAACUGUUCAUCCCUUGACGGUAUCUAACCAGAAAGCCACGGCUAACUACGUGCCAGCAGCCGCGGUAAUACGUAGGUGGCAAGCGUUGUCCGGAUUUAUUGGGCGUAAAGCGAGCGCAGGCGGUUUCUUAAGUCUGAUGUGAAAGCCCCCGGCUCAACCGGGGAGGGUCAUUGGAAACUGGGAGACUUGAGUGCAGAAGAGGAGAGUGGAAUUCCAUGUGUAGCGGUGAAAUGCGUAGAUAUAUGGAGGAACACCAGUGGCGAAGGCGGCUCUCUGGUCUGUAACUGACGCUGAGGCUCGAAAGCGUGGGGAGCAAACAGGAUUAGAUACCCUGGUAGUCCACGCCGUAAACGAUGAGUGCUAAGUGUUGGAGGGUUUCCGCCCUUCAGUGCUGCAGCUAACGCAUUAAGCACUCCGCCUGGGGAGUACGACCGCAAGGUUGAAACUCAAAGGAAUUGACGGGGGCCCGCACAAGCGGUGGAGCAUGUGGUUUAAUUCGAAGCAACGCGAAGAACCUUACCAGGUCUUGACAUCCUUUGACCACUCUAGAGAUAGAGCUUCCCCUUCGGGGGCAAAGUGACAGGUGGUGCAUGGUUGUCGUCAGCUCGUGUCGUGAGAUGUUGGGUUAAGUCCCGCAACGAGCGCAACCCUUAUUGUUAGUUGCCAUCAUUCAGUUGGGCACUCUAGCAAGACUGCCGGUGACAAACCGGAGGAAGGUGGGGAUGACGUCAAAUCAUCAUGCCCCUUAUGACCUGGGCUACACACGUGCUACAAUGGGAAGUACAACGAGUCGCGAAGUCGCGAGGCUAAGCUAAUCUCUUAAAGCUUCUCUCAGUUCGGAUUGUAGGCUGCAACUCGCCUACAUGAAGCCGGAAUCGCUAGUAAUCGCGGAUCAGCACGCCGCGGUGAAUACGUUCCCGGGCCUUGUACACACCGCCCGUCACACCACGAGAGUUUGUAACACCCGAAGUCGGUGAGGUAACCUUUUGGAGCCAGCCGCCUAAGGUGGGAUAGAUGAUUGGG
rnacentral:rRNA from 1 species